rnacentral:ncRNA from 2 species
ACCUUAUCAAGAGAGGUGGAGGGAAUAGGCCCUGUGAAACCCGGCAACCGAUAAUCUAAGUCGGUGCUAAGUCCUACAGAAUUGAAGUUCUGGAAGAUGAGGU